UUUAAACAAAAACCCUUCAAGAAUGACUUAAUUUGUUUUAAAAUCGCUUGAAGUAACAACACAGAAAAAAUAUACGUUAUAUUCAUAAACCAUCAUCGAAGCAACAGCGUAUGCAAAAAAAAAUCUAAAGUAUAUUUGUAUAGAGAACAAAAUUUUCGUUUUUAUGGUAUAAAUCAGCAAUGUUGUAAUAAUGGCACCGUCAACGUCGAGCUUGGUUUGGAAAUACUUUG